GUCAACAACUUCGGUGAUUCUCA
rnacentral:siRNA from 1 species